UUGGCGUGCUUAACACAUGCAAGUCGAGCGGAUGAGUGGAGCUUGCUCCAUGAUUCAGCGGCGGACGGGUGAGUAAUGCCUAGGAAUCUGCCUGGUAGUGGGGGACAACGUUUCGAAAGGAACGCUAAUACCGCAUACGUCCUACGGGAGAAAGUGGGGGAUCUUCGGACCUCACGCUAUCAGAUGAGCCUAGGUCGGAUUAGCUAGUUGGUGAGGUAAAGGCUCACCAAGGCGACGAUCCGUAACUGGUCUGAGAGGAUGAUCAGUCACACUGGAACUGAGACACGGUCCAGACUCCUACGGGAGGCAGCAGUGGGGAAUAUUGGACAAUGGGCGAAAGCCUGAUCCAGCCAUGCCGCGUGUGUGAAGAAGGUCUUCGGAUUGUAAAGCACUUUAAGUUGGGAGGAAGGGCAGUAAGUAAUACUGCUGUUGAGCGACCAUCAG
rnacentral:rRNA from 2 species